rnacentral:rRNA from 1 species
GACGAACGCUGGCGGCGUGCUUAACACAUGCCAGUCGAACGCUGAAGCUCAGCUUUUGUUGGGUGGAUGAGUGGCGAACGGGUGAGUAACACGUGAGUAACCUGCCUCCUUCUUUGGGAUAACGCCCGGAAACGGGUGCUAAUACUGGAUAUUCACUGGUCUUCGCACGGGGGUUGGUGGAAAGGGUUUUUCUGGUGGGGGAUGGGCUCGCGGCCUAUCAGCUUGUUGGUGGGGUGAUGGCCUACCAAGGCUUUGACGGGUAGCCGGCCUGAGAGGGUGACCGGUCACAUUGGGACUGAGAUACGGCCCAGACUUCUACGGGAGGCAGCAGUGGGGAAUAUUGCACAAUGGGCGCAAGCCUGAUGCAGCGACGCCGCGUGAGGGAUGGAGGCCUUCGGGUUGUGAACCUCUUUCGCUCAUGGUCAAGCCGCAACAAUGGUUGUGGUGAGGGUAGUGGGUAAAGAAGCGCCGGCUAACUACGUG